AUGACUCUGUAGGCUGGUGGUUAGGACACCCACAUAGGAGAAAGGAGACCCACAGUCCUAUCCUUAAUGACUCUUUAAUUAUUGAUCCAAAGCAGAACAGAUUCAACAGGACAGAGGUUAGUGCACUCUCCUGAGACAUGACACAUUCCUGUUCAAAUCCAUUUUCCCCCCUCUGUCUGAAAGAGGGGAAUUCCACAACCUAGUAACUUCUGUAUAUAAUCUGAGGGACCACAAAUAUUUCCAGAGAGAGAGAGACUAUGGAUCAAUAACUUCUGAUCUCACAGGAUAUUGUUGGCUGUUGACAUUUUAUGCUUUGAAUUGAUAAUUCCUUCGGAAGAAAGAGCUGGCAUAAUUUAUAUAUCUGUUAAAGUCAAAAGACUAUUUGUGAGAUGUUUUGUUUUCUCUCUCUUCCCCCCCCCCCCCCCCCCGUUGUGAGGCUUCUUUGGAUCAAUGAGAACCACGCAUAGCAUGCACCUCUGCUCCUGGAAAUGCUACAGAGAGUGUAAGAUUUGAAGACUCCUCAUGAGUCCAGCUCAGCAGAGAUUGUCAGGUUUGCAGAGUCCUCAUGAGUCCAGCAAAAGACAAGGAAGACUUUUUAAUGGAUGGAAGAGAUCUUGGAUCAAGUAUGGAUACAAACUGACCCAGAUCUUUGGAUCCAAUGUGAUUGUUUGACUGAAGCUGGGGAUGAUGAUGAUGAUGAUGGUAUUUUUACAAAUCAAUCCUCAAAUCCCAGUGUUGGGGCCUAUUCCUGUCAUCGUUACUUAGACAAAACCUUCUUUUGAAGCCAUUCUCUGGAUCCAGUGAAUAAAAGCUGCUAGAUUGUCCCCCUAGAAAUCUGUUCAGGAGGGACCGUCUCUUCAGCAUGAGAAUUA